rnacentral:lncRNA from 1 species
UUAAUUCAGUGUGUUGCAUUUUAGGAUACAAAUAGUCGAAACAACUCUCUUCUCCAAGACCAUGAACCCCAACGGGAAGAAAAUUCUGAGAACAUUCCCAGCAGCCUGCAGGCAUGCGGCCUUGAAACACAGACGAGGCAGGAAACAGCAGAGUCCAGUGGUUGCGUGAGUGAUGAAGAUGAAGGCAUAGCCCAGAGACUGUCUACCCAGCCCAGAGGGGUAGUUCUUGUCAGUGAAGAAGAGCUGGCUCAGUUGGCCCAGCUGAAGCCAUCGCUGUCCAAAAGUAUUCUGCAACAUAAUGCGGGGAAUCUGAUCCAGAAACUUCAGAGGCAGAUGGAACAGCAAGAGAUCCUGGCAGAGUUUGUGGUGAGUCCCCCAGGCCAUGGGUCUGAGUGUGGCUGUAGCAGCAGAAACAGGCG